rnacentral:tRNA from 1 species
GCGCGAGUGGUUUAGUGGUAAAAUCCAAUGUUGCCAUAGUUGGGCCUCCGGUUCGGUUCCGGGCUUGCGCA